CAUUCAAAAUAUUCUUUUACUUCUCUUAUAUCAAUAGAACCUGUCUUGAUGUCUAUUUCAUUCUUGAUAUUGCUGAGCACAUGGCCACCCACCUAAGGACUACCAGUUACCAACCUCACUUGAAGCUGGACGUUCACAUGAACGAUGUUCACAGAGAGCUCUGGGUAUAAGUGAGGCAAGCUCUUAUUCUGAAAAGCAGGGAUUGUUUCUUCUCCCUGUCUAAAUUGCAAACAUGAAUGAAGGAGAAAGAGAAGCAAUGAUGUGAUUGGCAGCUGUGGGAUGAAAGGACUCUGGAUCUCGGAAGCAAAGGAGCUGCCAUGUCUACCGUGAUAGUGUGUGACAAACUGUGUGUGAGACAGACAUAAACUUCUAUCUUAUUUAAGAACUGUAACUUUCCGUGUCUGCAUCAGUAGCUAUAAUCAAACUAAAAUGAAUGCAGUAAAUAAUUAUCAGUUUCAUUGCAUUAUUAUAAAAUAAUAAAGAAUGCAUACUCUAUGCCCAGUGUGUUGAGAUAUUUUAGCUGCCUAAUAAAUGAUUAAUUUUUGUAAAUAGCCUCCAUAUUAUGCAUUAAUUUUAAACCUAUAUAAUUAUGUGUGUGAAAGUUUUGCAUGGAUUAUUCGGUCUAAUUAAUUCUACCACUACUUUCCACAAUAUGUUCUAUAAAAGACUACUUCUAUGGAAUAUUAAUAAGUUAAUCACAAAAUAAAAGUUUAACAGUCCUGUA